GACGGGGGGGGCAAGUGUUCUUCGGAAUGACUGGGCGUCAAGGGCACGUAGGCGGUGAAUCGGGUUGAAAGUGAAAGUCGCCAAAAAGUGGCGGAAUGCUCUCGAAACCAAUUCACUUGAGUGGGACAGAGGAGAGUGGAAUUUCGUGUGUAGGGGUGAAAUGCGCAGAUAUCAGGAGGAACACCGGUGGCGAAGGCGGUUCUCUGGGCAUGUCCUGACGCUGAGGAGCGAAAGUGUGGGGAGCGAACAGG
rnacentral:rRNA from 1 species